UACGGAGGGUGCAAACGUUGCUCGGAAUCAUUGGGCGUAAAGCGCACGUAGGCGGCCUGAUAAGUCGGGUGUGAAAGCCCUCGGCUCAACCGGGGAAGUGCAUUCGAAACUGCUGAACUUGAGUAUGGAAGAGGGUCGCGGAAUUCCCGGUGUAGAGGUGAAAUUCGUAGAUAUUCGGAAGAACACCAGUGGCGAAGGCGACUUACUGGACACAUAUUGACGCUGAGGUGCGAAAGCGUGGGGAGCAAACAGG
rnacentral:rRNA from 1 species